UACAGAGGUCUCAAGCGUUGUUCGGAUUCAUUGGGCAUAAAGGGCGCGUAGGCGGCUUUUCAAGUCAGGGGUGAAAUCCGGCAGCUCAACUGUCGAAGUGCCCUUGAUACUGAUGAGCUCGAGGGAGGUAGGGGUCUGUGGAACUUCCGGUGGAGCGGUGAAAUGCGUUGAUAUCGGAAGGAACGCCGGUGGCGAAAGCGACGGACUGGACCUCUUCUGACGCUGAGGCGCGAAAGCCAGGGGAGCAAACGGG
rnacentral:rRNA from 1 species